CAAGUAGAACGCUGAAGAGAGGAGCUUGCUCUUCUUGGAUGAGUUGCGAACGGGUGAGUAACGCGUAGGUAACCUGCCUUGUAGCGGGGGAUAACUAUUGGAAACGAUAGCUAAUACCGCAUAACAAUGGAUGACUCAUGUCAUUUAUUUGAAAGGGGCAAAUGCUCCACUACAAGAUGGACCUGCGUUGUAUUAGCUAGUAGGUGAGGUAACGGCUCACCUAGGCGACGAUACAUAGCCGACCUGAGAGGGUGAUCGGCCACACUGGGACUGAGACACGGCCCAGACUCCUACGGGAGGCAGCAGUAGGGAAUCUUCGGCAAUGGGGGCAACCCUGACCGAGCAACGCCGCGUGAGUGAAGAAGGUUUUCGGAUCGUAAAGCUCUGUUGUAAGUCAAGAACGAGUGUGAGAGUGGAAAGUUCACACUGUGACGGUAGCUUACCAGAAAGGGACGGCUAACUACGUGCCAGCAGCCGCGGUAAUACGUAGGUCCCGAGCGUUGUCCGGAUUUAUUGGGCGUAAAGCGAGCGCAGGCGGUUUGAUAAGUCUGAAGUUAAAGGCUGUGGCUCAACCAUAGUUCGCUUUGGAAACUGUCAAACUUGAGUGCAGAAGGGGAGAGUGGAAUUCCAUGUGUAGCGGUGAAAUGCGUAGAUAUAUGGAGGAACACCGGUGGCGAAAGCGGCUCUCUGGUCUG
rnacentral:rRNA from 1 species